rnacentral:lncRNA from 1 species
CCAGUCACCUUCGAUUUUACCAUCAGAAUCAUGUCAAGAGAACACUCUUCAAAAGUUUUACAACCUAGAAUUUGAUUUUGAGCUCCAAUACAUGAAAAAAAUCAAACCCUAGGAUAAAUUAGCAACACUUGCUAAUUUUCUUACAACCGUUCUUACAACUUUUCCUCUCAAUUUUUUCUUUUUUUUUCUCAGAUUUCUUUUAAAAUUUUUUUUCUCUAUUACACAU